AAAGGAAUUGACGGGAGCCCGCACAAGCAGUGGAGUAUGUGGUUUAAUUCGACGCAACGCGAAAAACCUUACCAAGGAUUGACAUCCCGAGAAGUCGGCGUAAUGGCUGACGUGCCUCUUCGGAGGAAUUCGGUGACAGGUGGUGCAUGGUUGUCGUCAGCUCGUGUCGUGAGAUGUUGGGUUAAGUCCCGCAACGAGCGCAACCCUUACUGUUAGUUGCUACGCAAGAGCACUCUGGCAGGACUGCCGUUGACAAAACGGAGGAAGGUGGGGACGACGUCAAAUCAUCAUGCCCCUUAUAUCUUGGGCUACACACGUACUACAAUGGCGUUAACAAAGGGCAGCGAACCCGCGAGGGGGAGCAAAUCCCAUAAAGAACGCCCCAGUUCGGACUGUAGGCUGCAACUCGCCUACACGAAGUUGGAAUUGCUAGUAAUCGCGAAUCAGCAUGUCGCGGUGAAUACGUUCCCGGGCUUUGUACACACCGCCCGU
rnacentral:rRNA from 1 species